rnacentral:tRNA from 1 species
UGACCUAUGGUGUAAUGGUAGCACAACAGGUUUUGGUUCUGUUUGUAGUGGUUCGAAUCCGCUUAGGUCAA